CAGUCGCCGCGGGAAAACGAAGGGUGCAAGCGUUACUCGGAAUUACUGGGCGUAAAGCGUGCGUAGGUGGUGGUUUAAGUCCGUUGUGAAAGCCCUGGGCUCAACCUGGGAAUUGCAGUGGAUACUGGGUCACUAGAGUGUGGUAGAGGAUAGUGGAAUUUCCGGUGUAGCAGUGAAAUGCGUAGAGAUCGGAAGGAACAUCUGUGGCGAAGGCGACUAUCUGGGCCAACACUGACACUGAGGCACGAAAGCGUGGGGAGCAAACAGGAUUAGAUACCCCCGUAGUCCCUGUCUCUUAUAC
rnacentral:rRNA from 1 species